GAAGGCCCCACUGUCUUAAGGAAAUUCCCAGUGAAAUUGAAUUCGUAGUGAAGAUGCUACGUCCAAUUUGUUAGACGAAAAGACCCCGUUGAGCUUUACUGGGGCACUUACACGGCCCCGGCCUUCAAGACUGGGUUGAUAAGCCAAGGCUUACCAUACCUAGGGACCGGCCGAAUUUAAAUGGGCGGCUUAGACUAUGUGGCAGCCCCCCCCGUCGGGGCAGAUGAAACCCCACUCCCCCAUGUCAAAGGGGCUAACCCCCCCCCUUGGGGGGGACAGUGUAAGUAGGACAGUUUGGUUGGGGCGACCGCCUUUUAGAGAGUAACGAAGGUGCGCUUAAGGUGCGUAAUUAAUGACUGAAGCCUGACUGCGAGGGGGACACCCCGAGCAGACACCCCCAAGCCCGCCCUCGCCUUCGUACCAACGGAGGGAGGGCGGCGGUGGGGUGGGCCAUAGUGACCCGUUAAUUUAGAGUGGAAUAGUUAACGAUCAACGAAUAAAAGUUACCACGGGGA
rnacentral:rRNA from 2 species